UACGUAGGGGGCUAGCGUUGUCCGGAUUUAUUGGGCGUAAAGAGCGUGUAGGCGGCCAGGUAGGUCUGCUGUGAAAACUCGAGGCUCAACCUCGAGACGUCGGCGGAAACCAUCUGGCUAGAGUCCGGAAGAGGAGAGUGGAAUUCCUGGUGUAGCGGUGAAAUGCGCAGAUAUCAGGAAGAACACCCGUGGCGAAGGCGGCUCCUCGUGGGACGGAUACUGACGCUGAGACGCGAAAGCGUGGGGAGCGAACAGG
rnacentral:rRNA from 1 species